rnacentral:rRNA from 1 species
CAGUCGCCACGGUAAUACGUAGGGUGCGAGCGUUAAUCGGAAUUACUGGGCGUAAAGCGUGCGCAGGCGGCUGUGUAAGACAGGUGUGGAAUCCCCGGGCUUAACCUGGGAACUGCGCUUGUGACUGCACAGCUAGAGUAUGGCAGAGGGGGGUGGAAUUCCACGUGUAGCAGUGAAAUGCGUAGAGAUGUGGAGGAACACCGGUGGCGAAGGCAGCCCCCUGGGCCAAUACUGACGCUCAUGCACGAAAGCGUGGGGAGCAAACAGGAUUAGAUACCCCUGUAGUCCCUGUCUCUUAUCC